GGCUGGCAGCUAGCUUCUUUGUUUUCGUAUUUUCUGGAUAUUUUCUCUCCAUAUUUUAAUUUUUGGGUUUGGAAUUGAUGUUUAUAUUAUAUUGUCAUGGCCAAACUGGCUUGCUUAAUGUUCUAUGAUGGCUAUUCUGACUGCUGAUGCUGAGGAUUAAUUUAAUGCUGUGUGCUAGACGUAAAUCUAGUUAUGAAUUUGUGUAUCUUUAAUAGGAAGGAUUAUAAAAUCUCUGCAUGCCAGCUCUACGCUACGAAACAUUGUGGCUGCCAGACAUGUCAGAGAAAAAAUCACCUCCAAGAAAG